UACGUAGGGGGCUAGCGUUGUCCGGAAUCAUUGGGCGUAAAGAGCGCGUAGGCGGCCAGAUAAGUCCGGUGUGAAAGUCAAAGGCUCAACCUUUGAAUGCCGCUGGAAACUGUCUGGCUAGAGUCCGGGAGGGGCGAGUGGAAUUCCUGGUGUAGCGGUGAAAUGCGCAGAUAUCAGGAGGAACACGAAUGGCGAAGGCAGCUCGCUGGAACGGUACUGACGCUGAGGCGCGAAAGCGUGGGGAGCAAACAGG
rnacentral:rRNA from 1 species